UGAACGCUGGCGGCGUGCCUAAUACAUGCAAGUCGAGCGAACAGAUGAGGAGCUUGCUCCUCUGACGUUAGCGGCGGACGGGUGAGUAACACGUGGAUAACCUACCUAUAAGACUGGGAUAACUUCGGGAAACCGGAGCUAAUACCGGAUAAUAUAUUGAACCGCAUGGUUCAAUAGUGAAAGACGGUUUUGCUGUCACUUAUAGAUGGAUCCGCGCCGCAUUAGCUAGUUGGUAAGGUAACGGCUUACCAAGGCAACGAUGCGUAGCCGACCUGAGAGGGUGAUCGGCCACACUGGAACUGAGACACGGUCCAGACUCCUACGGGAGGCAGCAGUAGGGAAUCUUCCGCAAUGGGCGAAAGCCUGACGGAGCAACGCCGCGUGAGUGAUGAAGGUCUUCGGAUCGUAAAACUCUGUUAUUAGGGAAGAACAAAUGUGUAAGUAACUAUGCACGUCUUGACGGUACCUAAUCAGAAAGCCACGGCUAACUACGU
rnacentral:rRNA from 1 species